UAUAUAUAUAUCAAUAUAUAUUUGUUUCUGUCUUCUUUUUACAGUAUUGGCAAGUGCAGGAGAACGAUUAGGGCUUCCCGGUCCUCCAGGCCCUCCUGGCCCCCCAGGUGCUUCUAUUCAGGGACCAGCUGGACCUCGUGGUCCUCCAGGAGAAGGACUCCCCGGCCCACGGGGCCCACCAGGAGAACCAGGGUCUUUUGUGCCCACGUCAGGUAGGUUCCCAAGCCAAAUCAUAUGUUGGAUUAUUUGAGAAAUUGUUCCUCUGCAGUUCACA
rnacentral:lncRNA from 1 species